CAAUAAGCAUAAUAUCUUAUAAAACGUAAUCAUUAAAUCAUGUUUUUCAUGUAUGCAUUUCUAUUAUUAAAACAUGUAUUUUAGAAGGGAUCCACUUACAGAUAUUUUGCCGUUGAAAAGCCAUGCAAGCUAGCGAAAAUGGAAAUGCCACAAUAAAUGCACCUAAGCACAUAAAGGGUCUAAUUAAUAAAACUCAAAUCAAACAAU
rnacentral:lncRNA from 1 species